AUUGAACGCUGGCGGCAUGCCUUACACAUGCAAGUCGAACGGCAGCACGGGUGCUUGCACCUGGUGGCGAGUGGCGAACGGGUGAGUAAUACAUCGGAACGUACCUUAUCGUGGGGGAUAACGCAGCGAAAGCUGUGCUAAUACCGCAUACGCCCUGAGGGGGAAAGCGGGGGAUCGCAAGACCUCGCGCGAUUAGAGCGGCCGAUGCCUGAUUAGCUCGUUGGUGGGGUAAAAGCCCACCAAGGCGACGAUCAGUAGCUGGUCUGAGAGGACGAUCAGCCACACUGGGACUGAGACACGGCGCAGACUCCUACGGGAGGCAGCAGUGGGGAAUUUUGGACAAUGGGGGCAACCCUGAUCCAGCAAUGCCGCGUGAGUGAAGAAGGCCUUCGGGUUGUAAAGCUCUUUUGUCAGGGAAGAAACACCGGCUCUAACACAGUCCGGGAAUGACGGUACCUGAAGAAGAAGCCCCGGCUAACUUCGUGCCAGCCGCCGCAGUAA
rnacentral:rRNA from 1 species